GAUGAACGCUGGCGGCGUGCUUAACACAUGCAAGUCGAACGAACCUUCGGGUUAGUGGCGGACGGGUGAGUAACGCGUGAGAAUCUGCCCUCAGGAGGGGGACAACAGCUGGAAACGGCUGCUAAUACCCCAUAUGCCGCGAGGUGAAAUGAAUUUCGCCUGAGGAUGAGCUCGCGUCUGAUUAGCUAGUUGGUGGGGUAAAAGCCUACCAAGGCGACGAUCCGUAGCUGGUCUGAGAGGAUGAUCAGCCACACUGGAACUGAGACACGGUCCAGACUCCUACGGGAGGCAGCAGUGGGGAAUAUUGCGCAAUGGGGGCAACCCUGACGCAGCCAUGCCGCGUGUGUGAAGAAGGCCCUAGGGUUGUAAAGCACUUUCAAUUGGGAAGAAAAGCUGAUGGUUAAUAACUAUCAGCCCUGACAUUACCUUUAGAAGAAGCACCGGCUAACUCCGUG
rnacentral:rRNA from 1 species